rnacentral:rRNA from 1 species
UACGUAGGGUGCAAGCGUUAAUCGGAAUUACUGGGCGUAAAGCGUGCGCAGGCGGUUAUGCAAGACAGAUGUGAAAUCCCCGGGCUCAACCUGGGAACUGCAUUUGUGACUGCAUGGCUAGAGUACGGUAGAGGGGGAUGGAAUUCCGCGUGUAGCAGUGAAAUGCGUAGAUAUGCGGAGGAACACCGAUGGCGAAGGCAAUCCCCUGGACCUGUACUAACGCUCAUGCACGAAAGCGUGGGGAGCAAACAGG